rnacentral:rRNA from 1 species
AACAGGAUUAGAUACCCUGGUAGUCCACGCCGUAAACGAUGAGUGCUAAGUGUUAGGGGGUUUCCGCCCCUUAGUGCUGCAGCUAACGCAUUAAGCACUCCGCCUGGGGAGUACGGCCGCAAGGCUGAAACUCAAAGGAAUUGACGGGGGCCCGCACAAGCGGUGGAGCAUGUGGUUUAAUUCGAAGCAACGCGAAGAACCUUACCAGGUCUUGACAUCCCGCUGCCCGGCGUAGAGAUACGCUUUUCCCUUCGGGGACAGCGGUGACAGGUGGUGCAUGGUUGUCGUCAGCUCGUGUCGUGAGAUGUUGGGUUAAGUCCCGCAACGAGCGCAACCCUUGAUCUUAGUUGCCAGCAUUCAGUUGGGCACUCUAAGGUGACUGCCGGUGACAAACCGGAGGAAGGUGGGGAUGACGUCAAAUCAUCAUGCCCCUUAUGACCUGGGCUACACACGUGCUACAAUGGACGGUACAAAGGGCAGCCAACCCGCGAGGGGGAGCCAAUCCCAGAAAACCGUUCUCAGUUCGGAUUGCAGGCUGCAACUCGCCUGCAUGAAGCCGGAAUCGCUAGUAAUCGUGGAUCAGUAUGCCACGGUGAAUACGUUCCCGGGCCUUGUACACACCGCCCGUCACACCACGAGAGUUUGUAACACCCGAAGUCGGUGGGGUAACCCUUACGGGAGCCAGCCGCCGAAGGUGGGACAGAUGAUUGGGGUGAAGUCGUAACAAGGUAACC